AGGUCCUCAGAAACAUGGUGCCAAGAGUCUUUUAAAAUGAUCUCAUUAUGAAAAGUUUAUGCAUUUAUCAAACACACAGCUGUGUAUGCCCUGCUAUGCCAGGGUAGACUUCCUGGGAGUCCAAUGAACUGGAGUUUCAGGGCCUUUUCUGUGCCUUGGGAGGCACCCAGGGAGGGUACACCACUGUCAUAUGGCCUAAUAUAUUUUGCAAAAAAAAAACCCAAACCAAACCAAAAACAAAACAGUAACAAAAAAGUUUUUAAAGUUCUUCUCUUAAAGGGCCCUCCACAUAUGCGAGCUUCAGUCUUGAGCUUUCUGGUCCCUACUUGGUAGACAUGGGAAAGAAGAGCCUGGGUCUGUCCUCCCCCCAACUCUCAGACUAGAGUCUGAAGGCGGGCUCAGGACUCAGAGCGCUUCAGUUGUUCCUCCCUAACUGCUCAGCCUGGGUUUCCUACCCCUGGCCAAGCAAAAUUCAUAGGACUUUGCGUUAUAGAGUAUGGGAAGGCCCCGAAGCCAGGCUCCCUUCUGCUCCCAGGUAGCCAGGGCUUCUGUUUGGCUUCUUUUACUUCCUGGUGACCAGUGUGGGUCCCUGAAAGUCUAUCUCCAGAGGGAAGCUGCUCUAAUCCUUUGCUGGGGAGAAGAUGAGGGUGCAGGGCCUGUUCAAUCCCUUCCCUUUCCCAGUUGGUUCCUGCCAGCUCUCCUUCCGAGUAACCACUAUUGGCUUGUCAAGUAAGGCUCCGUGUGUUCUGUAACCUGAUUCCCUCUAAGACAUUUGCCCUACAUGGCAGGCUGGGAAUUUUGUCCCAUGGGACAAGCUAGGUAAUUGUGAGGGUUAGUUUUAAUUGUCAACUAUGUUAAAACCAACCUAAAGUCACCUGGGAAGAGAGUCUCAGUGAGGGACUGUCUAUAUUAGGUGGCCAUGUUGGGGGAGGUGUCUUAAUUAUGUUAACUGAUAUAGGAUUUCCUAGCCCACUGUGGGUGGCACCAUUCCUUAGGCAGGUGAGUAGAGAAGUCAAGUUGAGCAUAAUCAAGCAAGCAUGUGAGCAUGCAUGUGUCCAUCUCUCUCUGCUCUCAACUGUGGAUGCGAUGUGACUGGUUCUUUCAAUCUGCUCCUGCUGUGACUUCCCUUCAAGGAUGGCCUGUCACCUGGCAUUGUGAGCUAAGAUUAACCCUUUUUCCCCUAAAGGGUUUUUGCUGGACAUUAUAUUACAGCAACAGAGAUGAAGCUAGGACACCAAGGAAUCUGCUUGUCUCUGCCUACCAUCUCACCACCACUGAGAUCAGCAGAGUGCCAGCUUCUAACACGGGCACUGGGGAUCCAGACUCAGGUUCUCAUGUUCCUGACUGAGCCAUCUCCCCAGCACCCAAGGAUGCUCUUGAGAGGAGAGGUGUGAAAUCCAAUUCUAGAAUGGUCUCCUGAGAAUGACUGGCAAACAGGAGAUUUCUUCAGUGCAUCUGUUG
rnacentral:lncRNA from 1 species